CGGAAGUGCUUGGGAUUAUGAUGUGACCCGGGAUGAAGGAGGAUCGAGAUGAGAAAAUUCCGCCAUUGUUGUUAAGAGAAACGAUACGCUUACAGAUUUGUUUUCUCGUUUAUGUCGAUUGUUUUCACAGCUAAAGCAUAAUGCCAAAAGAGGAAAAGAUGUAGUAAGUUAACAAAAGGAGUUAAAUAGAAAGGUAAUCCUCUACCAUGGACGACUGUUGGUACCAUUAUGGAGGAGAUAUCUGUUGCAGUUUCAAUCCACACUGAAGAUGAAAAGGAUCAUCCAACUAUGACACAUCUCUGGUCGAGUUUGUUCGUUCUGAGGAAAUUUCUAUUACUUCAGAAGAAGACAAAGGAGAACGCUUGUUAGAUGAACACGCAGACCACACUUAUGCAGCAAAAGAACAGCCAUUUGAGAAUGAAAAAAUAUGUACACUUGAAUUUGAUUUUUUUCAUGCUGAUUUUUUUCUUGCACCACUGGAAGGCACAGAGCAACUGAUUACACAAGAAAUUGAGAUAUUUGCAGUGAAUGAGACAUACAAUGAACAUGAAGAACCUUGCCUUUCUCCCUUUCAGACUUUAUGCAAUUUAUAAAAGUAAUCAUCAAUGAUACAUGUAUACAUAUAUCCCUCGCUGUACAGAUACCGAAAUUUGCAUAUAGUUGAACUGUACCAGAUCAGUUGCAGAGAAAUUAGCAUGAAGCUCUCAGUUAUCAUUGACAGUAACAUUAUAAGUGAAUGUUUGAUAAUAAAAAUAUUAUUUAUACCUGG